rnacentral:lncRNA from 1 species
GCAUAUAUAAAUUUAAACAAUAAAAUUAAAGAACCUGUAAAAUUAAUAGAAGUCUUGAUUAUUCCUAGCUUCGAUGCUUGAACUCUCCACCACAAACCGGUUGGAUUUGUUCUUACAAUCUUCGAUCGGACAAGAAAAUAAAAACGAAGGAAUAAAAUACUAUGAUCUAACGUAAGGUUAGAUCCAGUAAAAAUUACACAAUAGUUUCCGGUGUAGAAACUAUUGUGAGAAAAUUAAUUGAAUGCUUCAAAAUUUGCUGGAAAAGAAAAGGAAAUAAAAAUUGCU